GGGAUUAGUGGCGAACGGGUGAGUAACACGUGGGCAAUCUGCCCUUCACUCUGGGACAAGCCCUGGAAACGGGGUCUAAUACCGGAUACUGACCCUCGCAGGCAUCUGCGAGGUUCGAAAGCUCCGGCGGUGAAGGAUGAGCCCGCGGCCUAUCAGCUUGUUGGUGAGGUAAUGGCUCACCAAGGCGACGACGGGUAGCCGGCCUGAGAGGGCGACCGGCCACACUGGGACUGAGACACGGCCCAGACUCCUACGGGAGGCAGCAGUGGGGAAUAUUGCACAAUGGGCGAAAGCCUGAUGCAGCGACGCCGCGUGAGGGAUGACGGCCUUCGGGUUGUAAACCUCUUUCAGCAGGGAAGAAGCGAAAGUGACGGUACCUGCAGAAGAAGCGCCGGCUAACUACGUGCCAGCAGCCGCGGUAAUACGUAGGGCGCAAGCGUUGUCCGGAAUUAUUGGGCGUAAAGAGCUCGUAGGCGGCUUGUCACGUCGGUUGUGAAAGCCCGGGGCUUAACCCCGGGUCUGCAGUCGAUACGGGCAGGCUAGAGUUCGGUAGGGGAGAUCGGAAUUCCUGGUGUAGCGGUGAAAUGCGCAGAUAUCAGGAGGAACACCGGUGGCGAAGGCGGAUCUCUGGGCCGAUACUGACGCUGAGGAGCGAAAGCGUGGGGAGCGAACAGGAUUAGAUACCCUGGUAGUCCACGCCGUAAACGGUGGGCACUAGGUGUGGGCAACAUUCCACGUUGUCCGUGCCGCAGCUAACGCA
rnacentral:rRNA from 1 species